GUAGGCUAUAUAAUAAGCCAAGUAAGCCUAGUUACUUGCUCACUACCUAGUUACUUAUAUCUUACCUUUCUUUGUACGCGUGAGAUAACUACACUGAUACGUUAUCUAAAAUACGAUAAAGACAGACGGUGAUCAAGCGAUCGUAAAUAUCUCGUGCAACGUCCUCACAAUUGUGAGCGUUGGCUUGCGUGAAACUACCUGACAGCGAUACUCCAAGCCAAGAUGCACAGCAUGUCAUUCCACGGCGGCGUCACGGAAACUAUACUGUUUCACGGCUGGCGUAUCGAUAAUACGCAGGGAAUGAUCGGCUCCGUGGUCGGUGUCGUUCUUCUAACCGCGUUGUACGAAGGGCUGAAGUCUUAUCGAGAGUAUCUUUACUCGCGCACUACCUUCCUCAGGAGAAACCAGCACGCUAAAUCGAGACACGCACUACUGUUCUCCGGGCUUCAUCUCUUUCAAACGCUCCUGCACGUGAUCCAGGUGGUGCUCGGCUAUUUUCUCAUGUUUAUUUUUAUGACGUACAACUAUUGGCUCUGCAUCGCUAUCGGUGCCGGGACAGCUCUCGGAUAUUGGUUAUUCGCGUGGGAAAAAUCUAGUAACGAAAAUACGGAAUGUUGCUCGUAAAUAUAAUAUAUUAUUGUAAGAACGACUAUAAUAAGACUGUAUGACAGAUUAGUGUGUAAUAGGUCAAGACAAUCGGCUCACUUCUGUUCGAAGCGGGCGAAACAAGUUAACAAUACACGCAGCGUUGCCUCCUUGCCGCUGCUUUACGUAUACACCAACGUGAAAUUUUAUUUUCUUCCUGGUUGCUCGAUGCAGUUUCGCGAACAGACCGAGUACCGAGUAAUGACUCGAGGAAAGUAUAAUACUUACUGUGUGUUUUAGCAGAUAAGAAUACGAGAGAGACUUUGUAGAUAGAUUUCCGCAGUCUCGAGCAAUUGAGUAUCAAUAUUCGUUAUCUAAUCUGUUCUUUCUGUGUGGAGCACCGUGUGUUUCCUUGAUUCGUUGUAUCAAUCAGAGUAGAUGGAUCGUCUGGUCGAAUAAUUCGCCAUUCGACGUCGAUCAGCGAUAUAAUAAGAGUUAAACACACGAUGGCGGAUAAUCGGAGUUGCGCAGCUAUUUGUUGCUCGGGAUCCAACGAUCGUAUGCGACAAUGCCUUUCGGUUCGCCAAAUUAUUUUUGGAUGGGACAAGUUCAGUGCCUCGACGUGGUUCCUACUGCUGUUACUCUUUUGCAUUUGGUGUCUAACAUUCUUCCUCACUUACAAACCUAAGCCAGAAGAAAGUGAUCAUAUGGGACAUUGAAGUGAAAAAAUGUAUGUCGACAAGAUCGUUGGUAUCGUCAACGUAAAAAAAAAAUGGAGAGAAACAUGUUUAGAUGUAAUUGACCAGAUAUCAAAACCGAAUCAUUGUGUGGGCUUAUUAUAUUAAUGAAGAUACUCAUCCAUCUCAAUGAAACGCUAAAGCGCAACGAUUAUUAAUUGAGAAGAAGAGACAGCUUCUUUAAAAGUAAAUUUGCGAUGAGAAAAUGUAUACCUUGUAUAUUUGACAAAUAAUGAA
rnacentral:misc_RNA from 1 species